rnacentral:misc_RNA from 1 species
GAUGAAGAACGUAGCGAAAUACGAUAAGUAAUGUGAAUUGCAGAAUUCCGUGAAUCAUCGAAUCUUUGAACGCACAUUGCGCCCUCUGGUAUUCCGGGGGGCAUGCCUGUCCGAGCGUCAUUUGCAACCCUCAAGCCCGGCUUGUGUGAUGGGUGCCGUCCCCUACGGGACGCGCCCCGAAGGCAAUGGCGGCGUCGCGGUUAUCCGAUCAGCCAAAGUGUAUGGGGCUUUGUCACUCACUUUACGGCCCGGACCGGCGCCAGUCCGAAUCAAUCUUUUUUCUAAAGUUGACCUCGGAUCAGGUAGGGAUACCCGCUGAACUUAAGCAUAUCAAUAAGCGGAGGA